rnacentral:rRNA from 1 species
GAUGAACGCUGGCGGCGUGCCUAAUACAUGCAAGUCGAGCGAACAGACGAGGAGCUUGCUCCUCUGACGUUAGCGGCGGAUGGGUGAGUAACACGUGGAUAACCUACCUAUAAGACUGGGAUAACUUCGGGAAACCGGAGCUAAUACCGGAUAAUAUAUUGAACCGCAUGGUUCAAUAGUGAAAGACGGUUUUGCUGUCACUUAUAGAUGGAUCCGCGCCGCAUUAGCUAGUUGGUAAGGUAACGGCUUACCAAGGCAACGAUGCGUAGCCGACCUGAGAGGGUGAUCGGCCACACUGGAACUGAGACACGGUCCAGACUCCUACGGGAGGCAGCAGUAGGGAAUCUUCCGCAAUGGGCGAAAGCCUGACGGAGCAACGCCGCGUGAGUGAUGAAGGUCUUCGGAUCGUAAAACUCUGUUAUUAGGGAAGAACAAAUGUGUAAGUAACUAUGCACGCCUUGACGGUACCUAAUCAGAAAGCCACGGCUAACUACGUG